rnacentral:lncRNA from 1 species
UUUAUUGACGGUUAAUGAUUUAUUAUAUUUUUUCUCUAUUAAUCGUUGUGUGAAUAAUUUAAUAGAGCAAUGUGGAGGGGGGAGAGAGCAGCAUUGUUUUUUAUAAAAAUCUAUAAGAAAUAAACUCUGAUCAAAGUUACUUCAGUAACAACUUUUUAUUGGGGUCUGUUUAAUCAGUUAGCAAACACAAGCGUAAAUGAUCUAUGCUUCUAUAUAUAUUUUUUCCGGUGUACGAUAAGAGUGACUUCCGGCGGCUUCUUGCGCAGCCAUUUGUCGAGAGGAUGGAUCUUCGCUGGGCUUAUCCUGUAGUUCGCCUUUCUUUCUUUCUAUGAAGCUUUCUCGCAUCUCCUCCCUUCUUCCCAUCCUUUUCACUUAUCUCUUAUCGAGCGACGCAAUCACUUUUCGUCCUAUGCUUCGAUCGGUACCCUCGGGAAAAAUAAUUUUGUUGCGCUGCGCGCUCCCAACGAGGCACCCGGUCCGACAAUGCAUUGUUUUCAGAGUCGUAAUGAAAGAAUUCUAACUUUAUUACGUUCGGUCGUAAUGUAUAGCAGCAUUGCGUUUUACAAGAGCGUUAUACAGAUGCAGAUAUAUAUAAAUAUUAUAUAUAUAUAGAGAGAGAAAGAGAGAGAGAGAGAAAGAGAUAAUACAAGAAUCUCUAUUAUAAUAUAUAUAUAUCUCUAUUGUACUUUCUAAGAUGUACAUCUAUUCACCUCGUGCUCAUUAAUAUUUAAGGAUAAAGACUAUUUAAUGAUAUCUCUCUAAUCUCUCGAUACAGUCAUUGUAUAAACAAAUAAAUAACCUCAUUAAUGUUAAUGCAUAUAAGUAUAUUACACACGUUAAGAUUCUAAAGUUACACUUGAACUUUUCCGAUUAUACUAAGUGAAACAGAUUUUAUUCUGUGACAAGAUUUCAGAGCUACAGUAAAGCUUCGAAUUUACAAGCAGUAAAAGGUAGUUGCGUUCGUUGAAAACAAAAUCCGUAUUACAUCAAAUAGCAUAGGACUGCCAAUACGUCCCAUUACUUGUCGGCAGUCACACACUUAAAUCGUACCUUAAAAUGAUGAAUCAAUAAAGCAAUAAACACGAGAAAAUAUCGUGACUAAAUCUUACACAGAACAGAAGGUCGUAAUAUAGAAAUGGUAUAAUUUUUCGAUUUUUGGUUGAUAUCUAUUUUACAGCUCUUUUCAAGGCAAAAAAUGAAUAAUACCAGAGUACCGAUUUAUCAGAAUACGAAUGAUAUUGAGGCGAUCGCGAUUAAUAAUAACGUGCAUAGCUGUUUGAAAGUAAGAUAUUAACAAUUUUCUACUAUAAAAAUUGUUCAAAUAAUGACGAUUUCGUUAUUUUCUGCUAACUUAAAAUCUCGUACUUGUUACAAUAUGCAUGCGUCUCUUUUACCGAAAUUUCACUUUAUAUAAACUUCAUUAAAACUUUUUUCAAAAUUCUAUUAUCAAAGAAACAUACAAGUUGCACAUUUUUUGUUCUUUUUUUAUUUAGUUUAAUUAAUUUCUUAAUGAAAAUGUAAAUGUGAAAAAUGAUUAUUCUUCUUAAACAUAACUAAUGUCAUAUACUUUUGCGUCCUUAUAACACUCUUACACGAUGUAACGUCGAAAAGAAUAGUCACACAUACGCAUGGAUUUUACAGCAUUAUUGCUAGUGGAAAAAUCAAAAGCGUGUAGAACACAUUCUCUCAUUCUAGAGUUUAAGUAUAUUGUAAAUCAGCGAUAAUACGUCUAACUUUGUACAACACGAUUUCAGUACUCGCUAUAUAAAUCGUGCGAAUCAUAUUCGCAAAAUUCACUUGUCGUUUCGAUAUUAUAACUACGAUAUUAAACUAUUCCGAUCGACGUUGCAUGGUCUAAGGUAAUGUAGAAUAAGUAUUUAUCGUCGAAUUAUGUGGAUGUAGAAAGAUAUAGAAAAGACAACUAAUUUGCCUUGUGUUAUCGCAAAAUUGAUUCGUAAAUAAUUUGAAAAAAUUCGCUAUUUUAAUUCAAUAAAUAAUGAGUGUUUUAGCGUGAAUGUUUACGACGUAAAAGCGAAACGAGAUGAAAUCCGCGCGUCUGCUCGUUCUCUGUUGCGUGGACGCCGGUUAAGUCGCAAGUAUCAAAAACUUUGUCAAAACGACGACAUUUGCUCAUCACGCCUUUAUGUUUAUAAAUUCCAUAUGCAUUCAAACGAAAACCAAAAGACAUCUAAAGACAUAUAAAGGCGUUUAAAAGUUUCUUUAAAAAGAAAAAAAAUAUAUCUAAAUGAUAUUUAUUUAUUAUAAAGUUAAUGGAUCGAUUUGUCAAUUAAUUAUCUAGAAUCUUUUUACCUGGAUCAACGUGAUCAAUUGAAAAGUAUACGUAAAGGACGCCUGAAAGGUGUCUUAGACGUUUCAAUGAGAUCUUUAAGACCAUUUAAAUGGUGCCUGAAAGGCGAGGGCGUCUUUUAAUUUUAACUCGCGUUCUCCGGUUAGUUUUUGCGUACCACGGACAUUUUAAUUAUGUAUUCUGUUUAGCGUUUGGUACCUUCAGUAUAGUUUCAAUAAACAUUUAAUUCUGAUCCAUUUCUCGCAGUGAUGGCUGAUUAAUUAUGCAAGAAGGAACUGAUUGCAAAAUAGAAGCGAGACAAAGUCUAAGAUGAGAUUUCGUCCGUACUUAUUUAACUGCAAUUGUUAAACUGCUGUUUAACAAUCGUUAAUUGAAAUUUCAUAAAAUUCAUACGCGAGUGCUGUUAUAAUAUGACGUUAGAAUACAGAAUUUUUAUCGGUUCAGAAUUUUCUUUUCUCUCACGGUGGUUCUUUCUCGCCUAUGUCCAGCUAUCCGUGCGAAUCGAUGAGAGGUUCAAUGGCACUGUAUUUUUCCAAAUUACUGGAUUCAUAAUAUACAAGCGAAUCCAGACGUCCAUUGGUCCAUUAUGAUAUGAUGAUAAUCAAGUUCAUCGAAAACCUUUCACGCUUCUCGAUCGAACUGCAAGCAAGAAUUCAGCCGCAAGGAAUAAGUAUAUUGUGCCGUUCGGAACUUUCAUUACUGUAUCGUUAUUCAUUCGUGUGUCGACGCGAAUACCUUAGGAAGAGAAAAAGUCGGUUGUGAUAACGUUCACGACGUAGCACUGUCUCUGAUCGAACAGAGAGAGAGAGAGAGAGAGAGAGAGAGAGAGAGAGAGAGAGAGAGAGAGAAAGAGAGAUUCGGUUAUGUUCGUUGAAGCGAUAUCGAUGACACUUGCUGCUCGUGUGUUUGUCGUGAUAUUUCUUCCUAAGCUAAGAUAUACAUAUACGAAGUUAAGAGUUACAAUGCGGACCGUUAAAAAAUAAUUAAAAUAGUUUCUCAUGUUAUUAUCGACGUAUAACAAUUUCGAGGACGAUAAAACCGUUAACCGAACAAACGAAACAUAACUUCUCUCGAAAUUUAACUCCACCAUGUUCUUAUAUCCCCCGAUAUAUUCCCUAUUCUAUCUAUAUUCUAUAAUUUCGCUCUUGCCUAAGGGAUCGUAGCGUUCUUGGCCGUUAGAGUUUCGCCCUUAGAAUAUCAACGAUAUUGCGAGUUAAUCGCUUAUGCAUCAAGAAUUCUAUAGCGCUAAUUCUAAUCGCUGAUCUUCAAAAAGACCUAUGCCUUACAAAAACUUUUCUCUGCACCUUAUUCUUGCCAACAUGUUCUAGUAUCUACUUCGAUAACGUUUGUUGAAGACGCGUAACUCGUGAAGCUAUUAGUUGAAACGAUCCUCUUUCUUUCUAAAAAAAUUUAGAAUAAAUCUACGGUACACUUUGUAUUUGUGAUGAAUUGUUACAACUAAUUAAAACGUAUGAUUCUUUUGAUUCUUUCUUCAAUAUGUUGAAUUUAAUCGAAAGAUAAUAUAGUUUCAAGACAUUGCUAAAAUUUUUUUGUUCUUCCCUUAUGUUAAGAAGAGAGCCACAGGAAAAAAUAGAUUGGGAAAAGAAUAGAUGGAGUUCAGCAAAUCUAAAACUUACUAUGCGAAAUUAACAUCUACAACUAAAAUUUGGUGAUUCAAUAAAAAAAUUAUGUCUGUAAGCAAUUAUUAGUAUGCUAAUUCAGUUAAAUGCUAAUUCUUUGCUGCAAUGAAAAUUGCUAAUGAACGUAUAAAUGUUUCCUUUAUUAUAACAGCAAAAAAUACUGCGUUUUUUCUAUUAAAAAUUUUCAUCUCUAUAUUGUAUUGAUUUUUAAAAAGUUAUCUUUGCUGUAUUAACUUUAUUGUGCUAUUACAACAAAUAUGAUUAUCCUUAAUCGCUAAUUUUAUACAGCUGUACAACUUUGCAUAGAAAACUAGCUAUCCGUAAUUAUGAUUGUAAAUUUAUUGAAUCAGUGAAGUUUGGAAUUGUUUUAAUAAAUCUUUUUUUCCGUGGCUAAGUUUAUAUUCUCGAUUUAUAUUUUAUUUCGCUAAAUCAUAAUCGAUCGGAGAUGUAUCUCUUAUCUUAAUUUUUAUCUUUUUCAACCUUUUUCAUCUAUCACCUACAAUUAUUUCCUAUAUUUAAAUUUCAAAGUUGCUCUCAUCGAUCCAUGCAUUCGAUAGUAUUUCACGAUUGAGUCUUCGCGAGCUACGCGACUCGAAAGUCCAACGUGAAACAUGAAAGUUAAUUGUGAAAAGAUUCAUAAUUAGAAUAUUACACAAAAAAAUUUCCAGUCAGUUUCCGAUGUUUUUUCUCGUAGAUGUAUAACACACAGGAACGUAGACAUUCUGCGAUAGAAAUUAAUCUCUUCCUCGUAAAUCCACCUAUUUCGACGCGUAUGUUUUCUCACGAUCUUCUCGGUGUCUUGCAAUACCACUUAUUGUUUAAUAGCCACGGAAAUAAUUGUUGUGAUCCCUCUGAGGAUUUUUUCCCCCCUCUAAGAUUUCGAGCCGAAUCGUCUACCGGCGAUUUCUUUAAACGUAUUCGACACUCUCUCUAAUUCUCAUUCUUUCUGUAUUUCUAUAAUAUGAAAUUUAUUAUUGUUACUUUGAUAUGUGGUAUCUAUCGGUGCUAAGUGUACGAUGUACGUGUUCUGUCUCGUAUUGCGUUUUUAUACCGCACAGCGGAUAUGUAUAAUUUGUCAAACUUUCGCAUGUGGUCGCGUCUGAAGCCGCGUCUCCCAAUAUCUCCGCGUAGACGUUGGACGUUCGGUGCAUUUCACAGUCGAACUCACGUGACAGUUUGAAGCGAAUAUCGAUAUAUGUAAAAAAAUUCCGGAUGCUAGAGAAUCUCGUGGAUCUCUCCUUGCGACGCGAUCGCCGAUGCGGCUGGUGCGAAAGUUAUGCGACGGCGGAGUUUUAUAUUGUAGCAAUUGCGUAAAAAUCCGCAAAUUAUUAUACUUUAAUAUUAAUUUACUCUCUCAGGACACGGUUAAUUUAUUGUUUUUUUUUCUUUUCUUCUCUCCGCGAAGACACGCAAUGCGAUAUAACGUAUGUGAUAAUACAUGCUGACGUCGUACAAAAAAGAAAAAGUUAUGAAAAUCAAAGCGCACGUUUCUUCUUUUUUUUUCCUUUUCAUUUUGUGUUCCGGUACCGACAACGGAGAACACCGGUAAGAUAUUAAUGUUGUGUAUAUGGUGAUCGUGAGGAGUUAUAAAAUUUUUAUUUGCUUUACGCCUUAUACAUAUUUACUGUAAGUGAUAAUUAUUACUAGUUGUUUAUUAUAAAUAAGAACGAAUCACUCUUGUGUAUCAGUUAAAUUGCUACAUUAAAGUGUUGAUAUUAUACUCGUU